AAGUUAAAAAAUUCACUGUGCUAAAAUCGCAGAAACUAGGGUCCUGUCUGGUUUCUGUAAUAAUGUUAGCAGAGUACACACAAGAAGGAAAGUAUCUGCACUGGAUCCAAGAUGGGGUAGGUCUCUUUUUUAAUGUCCAGUGUCUUUUGUCUUUAAGAUUUGGUGCAAUAUGC
ensembl:snoRNA